GAAGACUUCUUAUUGUAGAAGCCCCGCUGCUGGAGAAGCUCGAUCAUUGACGAAGUCUGAAAGGAGUUCGGAGUAGAGAUCCAAUUGGUGGAGCCUGUCCGUUGUAGGAGUUCAUCUGUGAUCCGUCCACUAUGGAAGUUCGGAUGGAGUCCGACUCUUGUAGGAGCUCGAAUGAAGUCCACUUGCAAUAAAAGUUCAGGGUAGAGAUCCAAUUUUUGUAGGAGCUCGGGUGAAAUCCAGAAGGUGGUCGACCGUCAUAGAAACUUGGAUGGAGUCUAGUUACCAUAGAAGUCCUGCUGUUAGAGAAGCUUGAACAUUGGCGAAGUCUGGAAGAAGUUCGGAGUAAAGUCGUUUGUGGCCGGAAGA
rnacentral:lncRNA from 1 species